CACGGGGGGAGCAAGCGUUGUUCGGAAUCACUGGGCGUAAAGGGUGCGUAGGCGGGUUUUUAAGUCAGGGGUGAAAUCCUGGAGCUCAACUCCAGAACUGCCUUUGAUACUGAAGAUCUUGAGUUCGGGAGAGGUGAGUGGAACUGCGAGUGUAGAGGUGAAAUUCGUAGAUAUUCGCAAGAACACCAGUGGCGAAGGCGGCUCACUGGCCCGAUACUGACGCUGAGGCACGAAAGCGUGGGGAGCAAACAGG
rnacentral:rRNA from 1 species